rnacentral:rRNA from 1 species
GACGAACGCUGGCGGCGUGCUUAACACAUGCAAGUCGAACGGGAUCCAUGUUGUAGCAAUACUUCGGAAGAUCUAGUGGCGAACGGGUGAGGAACACGUGAGAAACCUGCCCCGAACUUCGGGAUAACAGUUGGAAACGAUUGCUAAUACCGAAUACCUCUGCGAAGUGGCAUCACUUUGCAAAGAAAGAAUUUCGGUUCGGGAGGGUCUCGCGGCCUAUCAGCUAGUUGGUGGGGUAACGGCCUACCAAGGCAUCGACGGGUAGCUGGUCUGAGAGGAUGAUCAGCCCGACGUGGACUGAGAAACGGCCCAGACUCCUACGGGAGGAAGAAGGGGGGAAUCUUGUGCAAUGGGCGAAAGCCUGACACAGCAACGCCGCGUGCGGGAAGAAGGCCUUCGGGUCGUAAACCGCUUUCAGCAGGAACGAAAAUGACGGUACCUGCAGAAGAAGGUGCGGCCAACUACGUGCCAGCAGCCGCCGUAA